ACAGGGAACAAACAUUUUGGAAAUCCGUUAAAAUUACUGUAUGGGCAUUGUGUAGGCAGAUUUUCUGCCGUUAUUAAGGGAGGGAGAUUGACAAUUGUCAUUGCGGACGAGGACACAGAUGACCCUACAUACAUAAAAAAUAUUGUUUACAGGGAAAUCUUCCAGAACGUCAGCCCAAGAAUGGUGCAAACUGAAGAGAUAAACAUCCAAACUAAUGAGGAUUUCGUUAUGGAGAUGGAAUGCAAAUGCACCAGUUGCUUGCAGGCCUAACUGAUACAAGCGAGACCAGUGCAGCUGCCUAUGGACUUUUAUAG